UGCCCUAGUAACGGCGAGUGAAGCGGCAACAGCUCAAAUUUGAAAGCUGGCCUUCGGGUCCGCAUUGUAAUUUGUAGAGGAUGCUUUGGGUGAAACGCCAGUCUAAGUUCCUUGGAACAGGACGUCAUAGAGGGUGAGAAUCCCGUAUGUGACUGGAAAUGUUAACCUAUGUAAAGCUCCUUCGACGAGUCGAGUUGUUUGGGAAUGCAGCUCUAAAUGGGAGGUAAAUUUCUUCUAAAGCUAAAUAUUGGCGAGAGACCGAUAGCGCACAAGUAGAGUGAUCGAAAGAUGAAAAGCACUUUGGAAAGAGAGUUAAAAAGCACGUGAAAUUGUUGAAAGGGAAGCGCUUGCAAUCAGACUUGUUUAAACUGUUCGGCCGGUCUUCUGACCGGUUUACUCAGUUUGGACAGGCCAGCAUCAGUUUCGGCGGCCGGAUAAAGGCUCUGGGAAUGUGGCCUUCACUUCGGUGAAGGUGUUAUAGCCCAGGGUGUAAUACGGCCAGCCGGGACUGAGGUCCGCGCUUCGGCUAGGAUGCUGGCGUAAUGGUUGUAAGCGACCCGUCUUGAAACACGGACCAAGGAGUCUAACAUCUAUGCGAGUGUUCGGGUGUCAAACCCCUGCGCGUAAUGAAAGUGAACGGAGGUGGGAACCGCAAGGUGCACCAUCGACCGAUCCUGAUGUCUUCGGAUGGAUUUGAGUAAGAGCAUAGCUGUUGGGACCCGAAAGAUGGUGAACUAUGCCUGAAUAGGGUGAAGCCAGAGGAAACUCUGGUGGAGGCUCGCAGCGGUUCUGACGUGCAAAUCGAUCGUCAAAUUUGGGUAUAGGGGCGAAAGA
rnacentral:rRNA from 1 species